rnacentral:rRNA from 1 species
CCCUUAGAUGUUCUGGGCCGCACGCGCGCUACACUGACGAAUGCAACGAGCUUAUAACCUUGGCCGAAAGGUCUGGGUAAUCUCCAAAUUUCGUCGUGAUGGGGAUAGAUUAUUGCAAUUAUUAAUCUUCAACGAGGAAUGCCUAGUAAGUGCAGGUCAUCAGCUUGCGUUGAUUACGUCCCUGCCCUUUGUACACACCGCCCGUCGCUGCCCGGAACUGAGCCGUUUCGAGAAAUGCGGGGACUGUUGACUUGCUGAUCGCAAGGUUGGCUUGUCGGUGGAAACCGUUUUAAUCGCAGCGGCUUGAACCGGGCAAAAGUCGUAACA